rnacentral:rRNA from 1 species
GAUGAACGCUGGCGGCGUGCCUAAUACAUGCAAGUCGAGCGAACGGACGAGAAGCUUGCUUCUCUGAUGUUAGCGGCGGACGGGUGAGUAACACGUGGAUAACCUACCUAUAAGACUGGGAUAACUUCGUGAAACCGUAGCUAAUACCGGAUAAUAUUUUGAACCGCAUGGUUCCAAAGUGAAAGACGGUCUUGCUGUCACUUAUAGAUGGAUCCGCGCUGCAUUAGCUAGUUGGUAAGGUAACGGCUUACCAAGGCAACGAUGCAUAGCCGACCUGAGAGGGUGAUCAGCCACACUGGAACUGAGACACGGUCCAGACUCCUACGGGAGGCAGCAGUAGGGAAUUUUCGGCAAUGGGCGAAAGCCUGAUGGAGCAACGCCGCGUGAGUGAUGAAGGUCUUCGGAUCGUAAACCUCUGUUAUUAGGGAAGAACAUAUGUGUAAGUAAAUGUGCACAUCGUGACGGUACCUAAUCAGAAAGCCCCGGCUAACUACGUG